GUCACCGGCCCGCGCGACGGCGCGCUGGUGGUCUCCGGCGUCACCUGCCUGCGGGACGCCACGGUGACCGGCCCGGUCCGUGUCCGGCCCGGCGGCAC
rnacentral:tRNA from 1 species